rnacentral:rRNA from 1 species
AUUGAACGCUGGCGGAAUGCUUUACACAUGCAAGUCGAACGGUAGAGGGGGCAACCCCUUGAGAGUGGCGAACGGGUGAGUAAUAUAUCGGAACGUGCCCAGUCGUGGGGAUAACGUAGCGAAAGUUACGCUAAUACCGCAUACGAUCUACGGAUGAAAGCGGGGGACUCGCAAGAGCCUCGCGCGAUUGGAGCGGCCGAUAUCAGAUUAGGUAGUUGGUGGGGUAAAGGCUCACCAAGCCAACGAUCUGUAGCUGGUCUGAGAGGACGACCAGCCACACUGGGACUGAGACACGGCCCAGACUCCUACGGGAGGCAGCAGUGGGGAAUUUUGGACAAUGGGCGCAAGCCUGAUCCAGCAAUGCCGCGUGCAGGAUGAAGG